AGUCGACGACUCUUCGGAGUUAGUGGCGGACGGGUGAGUAACACGUGGGAACGUGCCUUUAGGUUCGGAAUAACUCAGGGAAACUUGUGCUAAUACCGAAUGUGCCCUUCGGGGGAAAGAUUUAUCGCCUUUAGAGCGGCCCGCGUCUGAUUAGCUAGUUGGUGAGGUAAAGGCUCACCAAGGCGACGAUCAGUAGCUGGUCUGAGAGGAUGAUCAGCCACAUUGGGACUGAGACACGGCCCAAACUCCUACGGAAGGCAGCAGUGGGGAAUCUUGCGCAAUGGGCGAAAGCCUGACGCAGCCAUGCCGCGUGAAUGAUGAAGGUCUUAGGAUUGUAAAAUUCUUUCAGUAGGGACGAUAAUGACGGUACCUACAGAAGAAGCCCCGGCUAACUUCGUGCCAGCAGCCGCGGUAAUACGAAGGGGGCUAGCGUUGCUCGGAAUUACUGGGCGUAAAGGGAGCGUAGGCGGACAUUUAAGUCAGGGGUGAAAUCCCGGGGCUCAACCUCGGAAUUGCCUUUGAUACUGGGUGUCUUGAGUGUGAGAGAGGUAUGUGGAACUCCGAGUGUAGAGGUGAAAUUCGUAGAUAUUCGGAAGAACACCAGUGGCGAAGGCGACAUACUGGCUCAUUACUGACGCUGAGGCUCGAAAGCGUGGGGAGCAAACAGGAUUAGAUACCCUGGUAGUCCACGCCGUAAACGAUGAUUGCUAGUUGUCGGGAUGCAUGCAUUUCGGUGACGCAGCUAACGCAUUAAGCAAUCCGCCUGGGGGAGUACGUCGCAGAUUAAACUCAAAAGAUUGACGGGGCCCGCACAAGCGGUGGA
rnacentral:rRNA from 1 species